rnacentral:rRNA from 1 species
UGGGGAAUUUUGGACAAUGGGCGCAAGCCUGAUCCAGCCAUGCCGCGUGCGGGAAGAAGGCCUUCGGGUUGUAAACCGCUUUUGUCAGGGAAGAAAUCUUCUGAGUUAAUACCUCGGGAGGAUGACGGUACCUGAAGAAUAAGCACCGGCUAACUACGUGCCAGCAGCCGCGGUAAUACGUAGGGUGCAAGCGUUAAUCGGAAUUACUGGGCGUAAAGCGUGCGCAGGCGGUUUUGUAAGACAGAGGUGAAAUCCCCGGGCUCAACCUGGGAACUGCCUUUGUGACUGCAAGGCUUGAUGCGGCAGAGGGGGGAUGGAAUUCCGCGUGUAGCAGUGAAAUGCGUAGAUAUGCGGAGGAACACCGAUGGCGAAGGCAAUCCCCUGGGCCUGCACUGACGCUCAUGCACGAAAGCGUGGGGAGCAAACAGGAUUAGAUACCCUGGUAGUCCACGCCCUAAACGAUGCCAACUGGUUGUUGGGAAGUUCCUUCUCAGUAACGUAGCUAACGCGUGAAGUUGACCGCCU